rnacentral:rRNA from 1 species
CUUGGUCAUUUAGAGGAAGUAAAAGUCGUAACAAGGUUUCCGUAGGUGAACCUGCGGAAGGAUCAUUAAUGAGAUCAUGCCCUUCGGGGUAGACCUCCCACCCUCUGUAUACAAUACCUUUGUUGCUUUGGCGGCCCCGUCGCAAGACAACCGGCUCCGGCUGGUCAGCGGCCGCCAGAGGAAUCAAAACUCUUAUUAUUAUUGUCGUCUGAGUACUAUAUAAUAGUUAAAACUUUCAACAACGGAUCUCUUGGUUCUGGCAUCGAUGAAGAACGCAGCGAAAUGCGAUAAGUAAUGUGAAUUGCAGAAUUCAGUGAAUCAUCGAAUCUUUGAACGCACAUUGCGCCCCCUGGUAUUCCGGGGGGCAUGCCUGUUCGAGCGUCAUUACAACCCUCAAGCUCUGCUUGGUAUUGGGUGUCACCCCCGGGUGCGCCUUAAAAUCAGUGGCGGUGCCGUCUGGCUUCAAGCGUAGUAAUACUUCUCGCUUUGGAGUCCGGGCGAGCGUCCUGCCAAAACCCCCAUAUAUUUUCAGGUUGACCUCGGAUCAGGUAGGGAUACCCGCUGAACUUAAGCAUAUCAAUAAGCGGAGGA